AGAGUUUGAUCCUGGCUCAGGGUGAACGCUGGCGGCGUGCUUAACACAUGCAAGUCGAACGAUCCUUCGGGAUAGUGGCGGACGGGUGAGUAACGCGUGGGAAUCUGCCCUCAGGAGGGGGAUAACGGCUGGAAACGGCCGCUAAUACCCCAUAUGCCGAGAGGUGAAAUGAAUUUCGCCUGAGGAUGAGCCCGCGUCUGAUUAGCUAGUUGGUGGGGUAAAGGCCUACCAAGGCAAAGAUCAGUAGCUGGUCUGAGAGGAUGAUCAGCCACACUGGGACUGAGACACGGCCCAGACUCCUACGGGAGGCAGCAGUGGGGAAUUUUCCGCAAUGGGCGAAAGCCUGACGGAGCAACGCCGCGUGAGGGAUGAAGGCCUCCGGGCUGUAAACCUCUUUUCUCAAGGAAGAAGACCUGACGGUACUUGAGGAAUAAGCCACGGCUAAUUCCGUGCCAGCAGCCGCGGUAAUACGGGAGUGGCAAGCGUUAUCCGGAAUUAUUGGGCGUAAAGCGUCCGCAGGCGGCCUUGUAAGUCUGUUGUUAAAGCGUGGAGCUCAACUCCAUUUAAGCAAUGGAAACUACAAGGCUGGAGUGUGGUAGGGGCAGAGGGAAUUCCCGGUGUAGCGGUGAAAUGCGUAGAUAUCGGGAAGAACACCAGUGGCGAAGGCGCUCUGCUGGGCCAUAACUGACGCUCAUGGACGAAAGCCAGGGGAGCGAAAGGGAUUAGAUACCCCUGUAGUCCUGGCCGUAAACGAUGAACACUAGGUGUCGGGGGAAUCGACCCCCUCGGUGUCGUAGCCAACGCGUUAAGUGUUCCGCCUGGGGAGUACGCACGCAAGUGUGAAACUCAAAGGAAUUGACGGGGGCCCGCACAAGCGGUGGAGUAUGUGGUUUAAUUCGAUGCAACGCGAAGAACCUUACCAGGGUUUGACAUCCUGCGAACCCCUGAGAAAUCGGGGGGUGCCUUCGGGAGCGCAGAGACAGGUGGUGCAUGGCUGUCGUCAGCUCGUGUCGUGAGAUGUUGGGUUAAGUCCCGCAACGAGCGCAACCCACGUCUUUAGUUGCCAGCAUUCAGUUGGGCACUCUAGAGAGACCGCCGGUGAUAAACCGGAGGAAGGUGUGGAUGACGUCAAGUCAUCAUGCCCCUUACAUCCUGGGCUACACACGUACUACAAUGCUACGGACAAAGGGCAGCAAGCUCGCGAGAGUUAGCAAAUCCCAUAAACCGUGGCUCAGUUCAGAUCGUAGGCUGCAACUCGCCUACGUGAAGGAGGAAUCGCUAGUAAUCGCAGGUCAGCAUACUGCGGUGAAUACGUUCCCGGGCCUUGUACACACCGCCCGUCACACCAUGGAAG
rnacentral:rRNA from 1 species